rnacentral:rRNA from 1 species
UACGUAGGGGGCUAGCGUUGUCCGGAAUCAUUGGGCGUAAAGAGCGUGUAGGCGGUCCGGUAAGUCCGCUGUGAAAGUCGGGGGCUCAACCCUCGAAUGCCGGUGGAUACUGUCGGGCUAGAGUGCGGAAGAGGCGAGUGGAAUUCCUGGUGUAGCGGUGAAAUGCGUAGAGAUCGGGAGGAACAUCAGUGGCGAAGGCGGCCAUCUGGGACAACACUGACGCUGAAGCACGAAAGCGUGGGGAGCAAACAGG